AUUGAACGCUGGCGGCAGGCCUAACACAUGCAAGUCGAGCGGGGUUUUCGGACCUAGCGGCGGACGGGUGAGUAAUGCGUAGGAAGCUGCCCGAUAGAGGGGGAUACCAGUUGGAAACGACUGUUAAUACCGCAUAAUGUCUACGGACCAAAGUGUGGGACCUUCGGGCCACAUGCUAUCGGAUGCGCCUACGUGGGAUUAGCUAGUUGGUGAGGUAAUGGCUCACCAAGGCGACGAUCUCUAGCUGGUUUGAGAGGAUGAUCAGCCACACUGGAACUGAGACACGGUCCAGACUCCUACGGGAGGCAGCAGUGGGGAAUAUUGGACAGUGGGCGCAAGCCUGAUCCAGCCAUGCUGCGUGUGUGAAGAAGGCCUUUUGGUUGUAAAGCACUUUAAGCGAGGAGGAGGCUCUUCUAGUUAAUACCUAGGAUGAGUGGACGUUACUCGCAGAAUAAGCACCGGCUAACUCUGUGCCAGCAGCCGCCGUAACAC
rnacentral:rRNA from 1 species